CUCUAUUAAAUAGGGUUUAUGAAAUAUAUGAUCAUCUUUUUUUUGAAGUUGACGGAAAUGAUAUCUCAAUAAGAGUUCAAUGAUGAAGGCAGCAUCCAGCAGAAUCAUUUCAACAAAUUUAUCACUACUUAGUUCGACUUUUUCUGCAUAAGAACCUCGUAAUUCUGCUUCUCUGAACUUUAUAAUUUGAACAAACUCGUCAAAGCUUAUUUUGGUCCGUUGAAGAAAGUAAUGCAGGUACCGCUGUUUAUGUUCUUCCAUGAACUGUAAGUUUGCUUUGCCAUGGUGAAGAGGUAUCCUCUUAUGAAUUUAGUUUAUAUCCUAAUAUGGGAGAGUCAAUAAUUGGAUGCAAGUCAAUAGCUGCAUGCAAUCUGAGGGCUAACAUUUGUUUGAUCAAUAUGUUAAAAAAAAAAUGUUAUAAAACAGGAUUGAUUGAUGGCCUUUAACAGUCAGUUCUAUGACAAAGUAACCACCACAAAAAAGGGAAUCACAAGACAUCAAGAAGCUUGAACUUGGCAGGGGGUCUCAUUAGCAGUACGCCUAAGAAAUUAAGACAAAGUCAAAGUGCAAGCUUAUGGAGCAAUUUAAGCACUGAAACUAAUAACAGUGAUAGACGAAGGUGCAGAAGUAUGGUAUUGGCAAUUGACCUCUGCUUUUGCUUAGACAUAGGUUCUCAUUACAAAGGACUUAUUAGUAGCCCUCGCCUCACAUGUUUGGAUGUUAAGGGGAAAAAGGAAGUUUGAAUUAUUCAAUCUCUUUUCUAAUGGCAUUCAUGGAGAACCUAUAAAACAAAAUAAUAAAUAAAAAUUUUCAUCCAUGAAAAGCUCAGUAACGAAAAACCGACUCGUUUAUCUACCACUGACCCAAUCCGGACUCUCAGUGGUCAUACCAUGGUCACUCAUUUCAAAAGCAACUAAUGAUGAGAACUUUCAUCAUUAGUUGAUAUGGCCAAUGUAGAAAAACAGAAAAACCCCUCCAGCAUCAAAGCACAAGGAUAAGUUUAGAAUUACACUUCUUAAUUUUUUUUAAUAAAUAAAAGUCAAAAUGAAAAUAGAAAAUAGUUUUGAAUAACUUUUUUUUAAAAAUGAAUAUAGAUAUAAAACUUUAAAAUCACCAAACAGAAAAACAGGGGAAUGAAAAGAUGGCCUCCGUUUCUCCUCUGUUUUGUUUUUACUGUUAUUAAACAGGGGAAUGAGAAAAGAGAGCCCCUGUCCUUCUCUGUUAUGACUUUUUUAUUACUAAACUGGGGAAUGCAAAGAUCACCUCUUAAUGCAUGCGCAAAUUUUUGUUUCUACCUUAGUACCUUCUAAAUGCUGCAUGCAUUAAAAUUAAUCUGACAUAUGCUAGCAUAACAGCCACUCUGCAUGUAAGUUCUGGAUAUAUCCAAAUAAUAUAAUGAUUUUAAAAGUUCAAAUUUAGCAUUUAAUUGUAAAUAUAUUUGUACAUAAAUUUAAUGUGCAUUUCGUAUAUUGCAUUGUUGUUAUUCACAUUUUUUGUAUGCUACAAUGAUCUCAAAACGAUAAAAUGCUUCGUGUGUCUCUUCUUUAUGUUUCUCGUUUCUGUGCAGGCAAAUCCUUCAUUGCAUAGUACGCUUCAGCGUGUACAAAGACGGUAUGCAUUUAGCUAUAAAUAGUAUCAUUAAACAAAGAUACUAAUAAAGAUACUAAUAACUACUGUUUGGGGGAUAUACUUUGACAAGACCAACCAUGAUGAGCAGAUGUCUGGUAGCAGGAUUCCACAAACAGGAGUAUUAUGCUCGUUCAAUAAUGCACCCUCCACGGGGCCAUAGCGGGAGCCGGCCUCCUACUAGGAGUAUAAGGCCAUUCUUACUAAAGGUUGAGGGGGGGAGACCCGGUCAAUGACGGUUGGCAAGACGUGCAUUCCUGCCCGAGAAUCAAGGCACGAAGUCCACUCAGCCACAACUAUGAUAAUGACGCACCCACUUCCGAGAGUUGAGAGAGGUGAUAGACGUGGAUUGCAGGAAGGGCCGGAUUCAAAGGAAUGCUAUAAAAAGGUAACCAACGAAGGUAAAGGGGUUAGACUUUUUGAGAUUAGAACUUAGGAAAAGAGCUUUCUAUUGAGAGAUCAUAAAAGAGCCAUAAUAUUAGUGGUCGUGUUUCCCAAAAAGGCAAAACCUACGUUUCUGACUUGAGCGUUGGAGGGUUUACACUGGAAAAACACCCGGUGUGCUGUGACCUGUCUCUGUGUACGCAGGAGUCUGUGGAGAGGAAGUCUUACGAGGAGAGAUCCUAGUCGUGGAUGAGUUGGUUGAGGAGAGAUCCUGGUCCCGGACGAGCAGAAAACCAGAAUCUCGUAUCAACAUUUUGGCGCCGUCUGUGGGGAGCUAAGCCAAAAGCUUCUGUUAAUAGAGAGAAGAAGAGGAAAGGAAGUGAGGGAACAAUGGAUGUAGGCGGAGGUAGUGCCCAAGAAGGUGACUUGAGACUUAACGAGUCCGUGACAUUGAGAGAGAUAGCCAAUGAAGCACGGGAAAAAGCAAUAUAUAAGCGGAUAGAACGGAUGGAGAAACAGAUGGAGACCCUGACAACCAUCCUACACGAGCUGAGAAGUGAGUGAAGGGGAGUUCAAGAGGAGGGGGUGAGAAGUGGCGGAAUGACACCAGGGCACGACAAUAUGAUGAGAGGUCGGACCACCAGAAGAUUUGGUGGUGAGGGGGGUAACUCAUCUCUACGGGGAGAAAGCCAUCGAGGAGAAGAACAAUCCCCAGGGAGGCGGAUCUUUGAUAACGAUGACAAAGUGGCGAAUGCAGAGGAAAGAGAACUCCGGCAACACCUGCAUGAUGUUGAGCAAGAGCGAGAUCAGGUUGCAGCACGUGACCCUGGUCGUGCUGUACAACUGGAAGAAGAAGUGCGCAGAUUAGCGCAGAUAAUAGAUGACAUGCAAGGGCAGAGCAGAGCACCUGGUUGGAGGAUAAUGCUGGACGGAGAAUCCCUGCUCUUAGCAGAAAUCAUGAGGGCAGUCAUUCCGAGGGAUUUUCACCUCCCAAACCUCAGUUACUCGGGGUAAACUGAUUAGUUGGUGCACAUAGAGUGCUUUAACGACAUAAUUGGGGUGCAAGGAUUAUCGCAAGCUCUAGAGGGACAAGCACGUGAGUGGUACCGGAAACUUCCUCGAGGGAGCAUUAAAUCCUUCGAGCAGAUGUGCCAAGAAUUUGCAGAGCAGUUCUGUAGGGCAAUGGAGCCUGAAGAUGAUAUGAUGGAGCUGACGAGCAUGAAGCAGGGAGAGGAGGAAACCCUUCGAGAAUUCAUCAAAAGGGUCCAUCGUGCUGUCCUCGAUUUGGGAGCUUUCAACCAUCCUCAGACAUUAAGGGGAUUGAAAGAAGGGGUGAAGAUAGGACAGUUGUGAUACAAUUUGAGGAAUCCUACUAUUCAGACAUAUUCAGCCGCUUACGAGCAGGCCAAGAGGGACAUAGAGAUUGAGGAGGAAAAGGCAGCACGGAUUAAGACAGACCAGCUGGAAGGGUUAAUGAGGAAAGAGAAGAGAGCUCUACCAGGAAAUGGGCCUAUUAAGAGGAAGGACCAUCAUGCCUCAGGUAGUGGUGUAGGAGGCCGGGUCACCUCUUACCAGUCUCAUCAGAGGCCACCCCAAUAUUAGCGCAGUAGGGCGCAACCUCCUUGUUCACCAGCCAGAGAUUCAUGGAGAAGGCAUGACCCAACAUAUGGUCAUCCUCAUCCACACCCACACGGUGUUAGAGGAAGCAGACCAGAAGCACUGUUACCCCAUCUAGUUCAGAACGGCACCAACAGGGAAAGGUCGGUAUACAUGAUCGACUAGAGUCAAGACUAUGGGUGGUAUACUUCCUUGAAGAUGCCCCUAGACAAGGUGUAUGAGGCCAUAAAGGAACAGAGAUUACUGUACCUCCCUACCCCAAUAACAAAGCUACCCAGCAAGAGAGAUAUUGUACCUCCUUACCCCAAUAGUAGCGAUAGACUAUUUCAUGAAGUGGAUAGAAGUAGAAGCCCUCAGCAGGAUCACAGAGAAAAAGACGACUGACUUCGUAUGGAGAAACCUGGUCUGUCGGUACGGGAUCCUUUAUACCCUGAUAGCAGACAAUGGCAGGCAGUUUGACAAUCACAACUUCAGGGAGUUCUGCCAGAACCUCGGGAUAGAGCUGAAGUCUUGCUUGCCUGCUCACCCUCAGUCUAACGGACAAGUAGAAGCAGCCAACAAAAUAAUCAAGAGGCUUUUGAAAACUAGGCUAUGAGCAAAAAAGGGAGUAUAGGUUGAUGAGCUACUAGGUGUAUUAUGGGCAUACAGGACAACUCACAAAACAGCAACUGGCGAAACUCCGUUCGCUUUGGCCUUUGGACAUGAAGCUGUUGUACCGAUCGAGAUAGGGGCGACCACGCACCGGACAGAUCACUUCGAUGAGCAGGAAAACAACGACCAAAUGUGCUUGAAUCUGGAUCUGCUGACUGAGAAGAGAGAGCAAGCAUCGAAGCGAUCCGCCGUCUACCAGCAGAGGGUUGCUCGUUAUUACAACCAGAAGGUGUGUAUACGACAGUUCAAGGUCGGCGAUUGGGUACUAAGGAGGGUGGAUCAGAACACGAAAGACUCGACACAAGGAGUACUUGGACCAAACUGGGAGGGGCCGUAUAGGGUCAAGCAAGUAACUGAACCCGGAGCCUAUAAGCUUGUUCGCGCGGAUGGCCACGAGGCGAAACGCCCCUGGAACGCAGAACACCUCAGGAAAUAUUUCCAAUAAGACCCAAUCAUGCUUAAAAGUUAUUUCUAUUCGUUCUUGUUGUUAUUUGUUUUAUGUUAAAUCAACCUCAUGUAAGCCGAAUUCAGAAAUUAAUGAAACGUUGAGGAAUUUCAGUCAGUUGUAAUGUUGUAAAAGUUUCAAAGGCAUGCAAAGGCUCACCAAGUCUCAAAACCUGUGUUAUGGCGAGACCAGAAGCCAAGCGUGCCAGGAUUUGCUCGACCAAGUGAAGGCGAGCAGACCCUCAAAUGUUAAAAAAUUUCUAAGGCAUGCAAAGGCUCACUAAGUCUCAAAGUCUGUGUUAUGGCGAGACUAGAAGCCAAGCGUUCCAGGAUCUGCUCAACCAAGCGAAGGCAAGUAGACCCUCAAAUGUUAUAAAAAUUUCUAAGGCAUCCAAAGGCUCACUAAGUCUCAAAGCCUGUGUUAUGGCGAGACUAGAAGCCAAGCGUGCCAGGAUUUGCUCGACCAAGCGAAGGCAAGCUGACCCUUAAAUGUUAUAAAAAUUUCUAAAGCAUGCAAAGGCUCACUAAGUCUCAAAGCCUGUGUUAUGGCGAGACCAGAAGCCAAGCGUGCCAGGAUCUGCUCGACCAAGCGAAGACGAGUAGACCCUCAAAUGUUAUAAAAAUUUCUAAGGCAUGCAAAGGCUCACUAAGUCUCAAAGCCUGUGUUAUGGCGAGACCAGAAGCCAAGCGUGUCAGGAUCUGCUCGACCAAGCGAAGGCGAGCAGACCCUCAAAUGUUAUAAAAAUUUUCUAAGGCAUGCAAAGGCUCACUAAAUCUCAAAGCCUGUUUUAUGGCGAGACCAGAAGCCAAAACAUACCAACAUCUGCUCGACCAAGCGAAGACGAGCAAACCAUCAAACGUAAGGCGACGGGAAGCUGAACUUUUCGACACCUACUCGACCACAAUGUAAGCGAACAAAAAAUAAAAUAAUCUGCCAAGAGCUCAAAGCGAAGAAAGCAAAUAAGAACAUUCUUAUUAAUCUGCCAACAAAUUAUGAAAGCUGCUAGUCUUAACAUACAAUGUUCCAAAAAAGAAACCUACGACACAAGGUACAUUCAAGAGGACAGCGGGUCAGUAAGCUGGGCCGUCUCUGUUGACUGGUCCACCUCAGGAGCAUGGGGGUCUCACCAGUUGCACUCGGGGGGGUACUUGCCUCGGCAACAUCAGCAGGGACUGCACGAGGAGGAGAUGUUCCCUCCUCAGUUGCAUUUGGCUCCAACUCUUCGACAUCUUCUUUGGCUGCCUCCUCAUCCAUAUAUUGAGCAACACCAAUAGUAAGCUCGUCCAUCUUCAGAUCAGGAUGCUGCUUCCCUAGGACGGCCAUGAUGCAGCGAUAAGAAUGCCGAAGCCCCUGGUCAUAUUGGUUGUCAGCUUCCUUCUCUAGGUUUUCAACCUGAACCUGGUAGGAAUCUUUGAGAGAUUCGAGCUGAGCCUCGUAAGUAGCCUUUUGUCUCUGCAGGUCCUCCUUGACCUUAGUCAGCUCCUCCUUAAGAGUGAUUCCCUUUGCCUGUGCGAGAGACUCUCGCUCUAUCAACUUCAGAUUCUCAAGGUUGAGAUCUCUGGCUUUCUUCUCGGCAACAUGAGCUUUGUUUUUAGCCGAUUGAACGUCUUCUCUCAUCUUUCGAUCAUAGCAGCCGACAUUCGCCUUAUAGUAAGUGGCCAUGCAGCCGAGAUGAAAAGCACUAAACUGCAUAGCCCCCACCAGCUCACUCAGAGUGCUGCCGUCAAAGUCUUCCAAGUCCUUUUUGCUGGCGAGCCUAGAAAACUUAUUGAUAUAGGGGACCAGAUGCUCUGCUCAAUUGUCGGGCAAGCGAGGGUUCGACUCUGUUGGUGGAGGAGGGGAAGUGGGAUCAGUGGUUGUUCCAUUACUUUCGCUGGCUUUGGUAGGAAGAGGUGGUAGAGUCCUCAAGGGGGGACCUGCUCCGUGAUGUUCACCCGUUUCGUAGAGGGAGCAUCCUUAUCCUGGUCUCGCUUAGCAGCAUGAGGUCGAGGACGUUUCUGAUUCAAAGCCCCAAUCACAGCAUCCUCCAUCUUAAGAUCAGUGUGCACCAGGCGAGAUUUGAAGAAGUUGUAAGUAGAUAGCAACUCUCGGCCUGAGCAGGAAUUGGCUAACACAAUCUCGACCCGCUUGAGCGGUUUAGGUUUAAGCUUGUAGUGGACACCCAAAGAACCUGUAGUUCGAACAAAAAUUGGGUUAGAGACAAAUAAAAAAUGAGAACAACUAGGGAUACAAGACAUCUAAAGCGAGCAGACAACCUAGGACCACGAAAUUGGAGGGGACGCGAUAGUUCUUCUUGUCAAUCUGUGCAACUUGACCCUAGGGACCCCCAGUAAAAAAGAACUUUUUCUUCCAAUUUCCACCACCACCCGUUGGAAGACUAGUUAUGGGUUUCCUGGUCUUGGUACUCGACAUGAAGUAAUACCAACCGGUGUCUUUGGGGUUGCUCUUUAGCUGGUACAUGUGCUUUACCUUAUCAAUGGUGGGCUCACUCUGGCAGCAUCUGUCCCACAAUAUGAACAGACCAGAAAGUACCCUCCACCCGUUGGGGUUAAGUUGACUAGAAGCUAAGUUUAACCCACUAAGCAUUCGGGCAAAAUAGGGUUGUAGGGGGCACCUCAUCCCUAACUUAAAACUCUCUAGAAAAAGAGUAACGUAUCCCCUGGGAAGCCGACUGGGAGUAUCAUUUUUUCCUGGGAUCCUAAGGGGUAUAUCAUCAGGAAUGUCAUACCUAGUCCGGAGGUCAACGAGGUCGUGCACGUGAUGAAGUCAAUAGCGUAAUGCUCCGAUAAAGCCUUACCUCCUACUUUGUUCUUCCUAUCUUGUCGCGAUGUUCCUAGUGAGGACAUUUCACCAGAAUCUUCUCAUGGGUCCUCACGCAGGGUAUCUUCCGAACUAGAAGAUCCCUCGCCGCCGCUAUUGCUAGUUGAAGAGGUUAUUUGGGGAGACAUCCUCCUAGCACUUGUCCCAAUACUAGAUCUAAUCGGUUCUAAAGGAAUCCCAGGGUCAAAGGCAGAAUCGGCGAGUAGACUAGGCAAGAAGUCUAACUCGUCGUCAUCAAUCUCAAUUACCUUUUCUUUGCCUUUUGACAUUUCCUAAACUAUGACCAGAGCAAUAUCACCAAACACUACCCAAGCAAAAUAGAGAGAAAAGAAAUUUUCUACAACUAUCCAAAACUGAAGAAAUAGAAAUAAUACAUGUAGUUGUGGCCCAGCCGAAUAGAGACAAGGAAGGUAGCUUUUACGUCGAGGGAGAGAAAUUGCUCAGUCACCGGAGAGGUAGAAGAGGGCUAAGAGACGAGUUUCCUUUUUGAUUUUAUAAAUAGAGAAGUAUCAGCUCUAGAAUUGUUAAAUCCCCACCUAACAAGACAGCUCUUGAGUUUUUCAUACCAAGCUCUUAGAGCUUGCUUCAAUCCAUAAAGACCUUUGUUAAGUUUGCAAACAUAACCAUCUUUUAAUGAAAACCCCUCAGGCUGAAUCAUAUAUACAUCUUCAAUAAGGUCACCAUUGAGGAAGGCAUUAUUCACAUCAAUUUGCCUCACUUUCCAUCCUUGCAUGACAACUAUACUCAGAACAACUCUCACUGUUGAAGAUUUCACUACUGGGCUGAAAGUUUCUGAGUAAUCAAUACCAACUGUUUGAUGGAACCCUUUUGCAAUCAACCGUGCUUUGUAUUUAGAAAUUGAGCCAUCUGUAUUAUACUUGGUUCUAAACACCCAUUUAUAGCCGACCAGCUUAAGCUAUGAGGACAUGGGCACAAGUUUCCAAGUAUUAUUUUUAAUGAGAGCAUUGUAUUCAGCUUGCAGUGCCUUCUUCCAUUUAGGAUCAGAUAAUGCUUCUUUAGUAGUUGAGGGUUCUAGAUUGUUAUGAGCUGAUAAGAAAGCUUUGGGCUUAAAAACACCAGCCUUUGCUCUAGUGAUCAUGCUGUGAGUAGGAAUUAUUGGUUUGGAUUUUUGAGAUGUAGAAUAUGGAAUAGUUUGGGAUGGAAAUGUAUUUGAUGAGGUUUGUAAGUUCUGUAAGGUGGAUGGUAUAAUUGUUUAGUGAGAUGAAUGAGAGUUCUGUGAUAUAGAUUGUGUUUGUAAAUCAGAUGAUGAAGGUACAAGUGAUGUGUUGUGUGAAUAAGUUGAUGAGGGUAUAGGAGAGAAUGAACCAUGUACUGCAGCAUCAGCUUCAAGAUUAUUCAAAUUGCUAUUGGAAACAAAUAUGGUGUAAGACUGAAGGAGAUUAUAUUUAAAAUCAGAGGGAUUGGGCUUUAAAGAAGAAGCAAUAGCAUCAGUUGAAUAGGGAAAAAAACGUUUCAUUAAAUAGAACAUGACUAGCUAUGUAGAUUUUGCCUGAGGAAUGCAAGCAUUUAUACCCCUUUGUGUAUAGGACUGUAGCCCAGAAAUAUGCAUUUAGAAGUGUGAAAAUAGAACUUUUGUUUAUUGUAUUCUCUAAGAAAAGGAAAGCAAGAACAACCAAAAGUUCUCAUAAACUUGUUAUCUGGUUUGUGAUGAAACAUACACUCAUAGGGUGAUUGCAUGGAUAAUGUAGGAGUGGGUAGUCUGUUUAUGAUGUAAGCUGCACUAUGGAAGGAAUCCCACCAAAACUUAAUAGGUAGAGUAGCUUGUGCAAGUAAGGUUAACCCCAAUUUAGUAAUAUGUCUGUGUUCCCUUUCUACCAGGCCAUUUUGGUAGUGAGUAUAUGGGCAAGAGUGUCUAAAUUGAAUUCCUUCUUUGUGAAUAAAAUCAACAAAUGGUUUGAAUUUCCUACCCCAAUCAGAUUGAAGGGAUUUGAUUGAUCUUUCAAGUUGCUUUUCUACUUGUGUUUUGAAGAUUUUGAAAACAAAUAGUGUCUCAUCCUUAGGGAUGGCAAUUUUUGAGUCUGGGUCCGGGUUUGGCUGUUCCAGAUCCGGACCCGGACACUAAAUUCUUAUUAUCAGACCCACAUUGAACUCGGUUUUUUUCCAUCCGGGUCCGGUCCGGGGUCAACCCGAAAAAAUCUGAGUUUCCGGAUUUCGGGUUUUGAACCCAGAUUGCUUUACUUAACUUAAGUUGAUGGAAAAGGAAAAAAAAAAGAACACAAUUACUCAAACCAGAACCAAAUUGCUUCCAGAAUCCAGAUUACUUUAGUUUAGCAACCAGAACCAAAUUGCUUCCAGAAUACAAAUUGCUUUAGUUUAGCUCAACAAAAUUUCAAAUAAAAAACAUAUAACUUAUCCAGGUUCUAAAACAAAUACAACACAACAUAGAAUUUAAAAUUCAAAAUUUUAAAGUAAUAAACAUCCACAAAUACAAAUCCAUAACAUAAUUCUACAAUUUAAAGUUCAAAUUUCAAACCACUAGUGCUAAAGACUAAACUCUCAAUCAUCCACUUCAUUUGACUAUUGUUCACUCAUCCAACUUUCAUUAAUCAAAUGCUCAGCAGAAAGUAUUGCUUCCUCUGGAAUUCCAUCUACAAAAAAUAUGUAAAUCAUAAACACAAUGAACAAGACAACCAAUUAGUGAUAAAUUAAUAAUAAGAACAAUACAACAAAUAAUUUGAUUCUAAUAAAUAAAAUUUGCAUACCUUUUAGGUUUUGUUCAAGCCAAAACCAAUUUCGAGUACACACCAAUGCCUCCAUUAUGGAUGUGUGAAGUAUACUGCGAUGAGGGCUCAAAUGUCUACCUUCAGUGCUAAAAGCGGACUCCGAAGCAACUGUUGAUAUAGGAAUGGCCAAAAUGUCCCUUGUGGUCUUUGCAAGUAUAGAAUAUUUGCCUUGAUUAUUCUUCCACCAUGACAAAAUGUCAAAUUGACUAGUUAAAGGCAAAGUACUCUCCUCAAGAUAAAGCUCUAAUUCUGAUUUGGAAUGAGUAUUCUGUGUGUUUUCAUUUCUAAAUAAUGCCCACUCAUCAGCCAUUUCAUCCAAAUCUAAGUCCAACAUAAUAGAAUCCCCUCCUGAAGCAGCUUGAGAAUUGGCACCAUUAACCCCCCACUUGAAUUUGAUAGAUGCUUUACUUCAUACUCAUGCACUAAAUCAACAAAUAACUUAUGCACUCUUUUAAUUUCGGAUUCAUCUUUUUCCCCAUAUAUUUUAGGAAAUAAAAAGUUAAUCAGUAACAUUUUACGGCUAGGAUCUAACAUAGUCCCCACUGCAAGAACUCCAUGAAUAACAUCCCAAUACUUUUCAUACUUCGUAAUCAUCCUAGUGGCCAUAUUUUUUAUCCCCUCAAUUGGUGAUUGCAACCAUGCAUUCAUUGACAAUCUAAUUUCACAAAUCUUGGCAAAAAAUAAAUUAGAUGUCGGAUAUCAUGUCCCCGGAAAAAAGUUCUAUCAACUUAUAAAAGCUUUAUAGAUACUCACACAUAAGCUUUGAAAAAUUCCACUCUGACUCACUAGGUAAAGAUGUAUAAUUUCUCUCACGUUCCUUUAAAUGAUCAAAUACAUCUUUAUACAAUAAUGCAAUACUAAACAUCAAGUAAGUGGAGUUCUAUCUAGUUUUAUAAUCAAGUACCAAGUUUUUGGUUUCCUUAAUAUCUAAUUGUUUUUUUACAUUCUUAAAAUUUUCAACUCUAGCUGGUGUUGCUGUCCAAUAAUGAACACUAUCUCUAAUUUUCUCAACUCCAUUUUGUAUCACAGACAAACCAUCUCUAACUAUCAAGUUCAAUAUAUGAGCACAACAACGCAUAUGAAAGAAUUUGCCACCCAUAAUCAUUGAACUAGCAGAAAAUUUCCCCAACAACAAGGCAAUCAUAGAAUCAUUUGCAGCACAAUUAUCAACAGUUACAGUGGACAACUUUCUAUUUAUAUUCCAAUCUAUCAAACAACCAUAUAACUCAUUACACAUUACCUCAGCACUAUGUGGAGCUGGCACAUAUAUAAACCUAACAAUGUGAAAAAAAUAAUUAAAAUAUUAGACAGGACACUAAUUUAUGCUUAAACAAAAAAAAAAAUAAGUUUUAAGAAUAUUACCUCAUAAUACGACUUCGCAACACCCAUGAGCUCUCAAUGUAAUGUGCCGUAAUAACCAUGUAUCCUUUUUUUUUUUGUUACUAGCAGUCCACAUAUCUAUAGUAAUUGCGAUUCGACUCUCACAAGUUUCCAAAAUACCUAUUGUCUUCUUCUUUUCAACAUCAUAAAGCUUCAAAAUUUCAGCUUUGAAGGUGUUUCUACUAAUAGUCUCAAUAGAAGGUUGGAGUAGCUUCAACAAGUCAUAAAACCCAACGUACUCAACCAAUGCCAAGGGGAGCUCAUGUAGUACAAUCAUUGUAGCCACAAAAAGCUUUAUUGUAGCCAUAUCCCAUUUUGAUUCAGAACUACAAUUACUAAGUGAAGUGGUUCCACCAACUUUAGAAGAAAAAGAUAAGUGCAUUUGCUGUACAUUCUUGAAUGACCUUCUAGGACAACGUUUAGCAUGGUUUAUUAAGUUAUUAGUACCCCCCGAAUAAUGUCCUUGCAUAACUAACCCACAGUAAUUGCAAAUCGCCUGAACUUCCUCACCCAACUUAACUUUUUUGAAAUGAUUCCAAGCAUCAGAGACUACUCUACCACUACCACCUCGUUUUUGUGAAGUAACAGGAUUAGUAUUAUCCCUACGGCCACGGCCACGACUACCCCCCUGAACUGCUACUAUUGAAUUUGGUUCUAAUUCAACAGUUGUAUCAUUAUUAUUUUCUGAUUUUGUCAUAACUCUCACACAAACACUUUCAUCACUUUUUUUGGAGGCAUCCAAGUCAAUUCUUUGUUCAUUUUCCAUAUCAAUUUUUCGCUCUACAAAAAUUAUGUCAAGACAUAAUUAAUUCCAGAAACUUCUUCUAAUUUAUAUGCUAUGUUUAAUCGUAAAAACUAUAAAUAUUUUAGAGAUACCAUUUCUAUUAUAUUAACAACAACAAUAAAAAAUAAUUCAAAAAUAAAUAAACUAUAAAUAAUAAAGUUGAAGCAUAACUAAGUAUAGAUAUUAAAAAUCACAGAGUUUAGCUAUUAAAGUUACAAAGUAAUGUCAUAAUCAAUUUUUUAUUGUAUGUGUCAUAUAAUUUCUAUUUUAAUUUUUUACGGCUACUCUGUUAUGUUGUGGCAGCCAGAUGAAGUCCUCCUUUGAUGGUUGUCAAAGCCAGCAAAAAUAAAUACCUACUCUAAAUAAAUGGUGUAUAGUGAUUGAGCAGGGUCGUGUCCACAGAGAUUGGUAAUUAUUUAAAUCCUUUUAAAAUGUAAAAUGCAAAAUGGGGGAUUGUUGACAAUAAUAAAAAUCAAAUUAAAAUAACAAGAAUGCAAAUUAAAAUUGUAAUUCAAAUUGGGAAAAAGCUAUGGUUGAAGGAAUUAACUCAGCUUGAUUCGACUACUGAUCAUUGAUUCAAAUAUAAAUCAUUACUACUUAUGAAUUGACUGGUUAUAGCUACUGAGACCCUCUAAUAGCCAAUCUCUCCUUAACUAGUCGAUAACCAAGGUACGACCAUUGGUUAUUUCCCUAAAUCAAUAGACAACUGUUGGUAAAUUUCUAUAAGCAAUUAUUAUCAAUGCCAAUGUGCAAGUAUACACAACAAGUAAUAAAGUGAUGAGUAUUCAAGAUUGUCUCCACAGGGAUUGAUGUUACUCAAAAUGCUAAAGCAAAUCACAAUAAUGCAAAUUAAUUAAGGACCGAAACAAACAAUUGUCAAAUAAUUCUAUGUAACUAAUAGUUGUGAGAGAAGAAAAUAAAACAAUACUGUAAUGAAAUAAACUGAGUUGAAUGUGUCUAAAAUUCAAUUGAGAAUAUAGUAGUUGAAUGAUCAAACUCUCCUAAUGGGAUGACUGUUGUUUACCAAAUUAGUACCAGUUAUUACAAUAAGUGCUGCAACAAUGGGUAGAAUAAAUUUGCAUCCGCAGUUAUCCCAUGUUGGAAAUCUCAUACCUUUAAAUCUACUAACAAUGACCAGUUGCUCAUAUAUUUAUGGUAUGGCAUUAUCACCUUUAAUCUCUCUACUCUACAAGGUGAACACCUAUGUCUAGAGUGUCACAAAUCUUAACUUCAAGUAUUGCCCUUAUAGGAUUCAAGAUAACCUAAUCCAGGAAACUCGACUUAAGAACAAGUAAUACUCUAAUAACGUCCGCUAAGACAUGCCCUUUUGCUGCUCUAUCUUAACUAAAACUAUUAAAUGGGUGGUCAACCGAAAUAACAGUUGUAUUUAUAAAAACUACUAGAGUAAAAUGCUACAGCAUUACCAUAACAACAUAAAAGAACAGUCAAGACCCCAUUGGAUUAUUUGUCGCUCAACCACAAAUAAAUUUAGUUCAUAAUCUGGAUGAGAAAAGUAAACAUAAAUAUAUUGGUCUCAGAAUACAUCAAAUCAAUUAAAGGAAAAAAAUAAAUAUAAGUUGAGCAUAAUGAAAAUCAAAGUCAAGUAAUUCUGCACGAUUGUCCAAUGUUGCCGAAACAACACUCUUCAAUUAUGAUAUUCUUCUCCUUCGUUCCUUUUAAUUACUCUAAUGAUAAUUCCUUGCCGCCCUUCUAUGUGGUGCACACCUCCUUUUUAUAUUGCGAAUUAGGUUAAAACCAAAGCCCAUGAGCGUGCAUGUGUUUAAAUUAGGAAACAUGCAGAUCGCGACUUUAUGGCUGACUCACGCCUAAAUUUUCUCCCGUACUGCUCCUAAAUUGCUACAGCACUGGUUGCUCUAACAGCCGCUACAACAUUGUUUUCUUCCCGAUUGUGCUUUACUUCUUUUGUGGUCAUCUUCCUUCCUCCUCUUGCUCUUCUAAUGCUUCAACAUCCUCUCACAAAUUUAAAACCUACAAUUUAAAACCUGUUUUUAGCACAAAUUACUAUGAUUCAAUCAAAACUUUUUAAAACUCAACUAAAAUGAAUGUUUAUGCAAAAGGUACCCAAAAUGUAAUAAAAACACCUUAUUUGUUCUCUAAGUGGCCUUGAUUCAAGUCUAGAAUUGAUGUAAUAACUCUCAUUUCCUAGAGUUAUCAACAACCCUAGAUACGAUCAUAGGAUUUAAUCAAUUGACAGCCUAAAAAACCAGAGAGACCAAAAUCCUAAUCAACAAACGCAUACGAUGGUUCAUUUAAAUUAGAUUGUUUAUUCUCAUAACAUAACGCACUGCUAUGUUAUUUGUCACAAACAUUAAAAUCUUCAUAUGAUAAAUCUUUUAAUUGAUAAUAGAUUAAAUUGAUAAUUAAAUAGUGGCCAAUUAUCUAAUUAACAAACAUAAUCAUGACAAUAAUAUAGAGAAUAAACAAAUACCCAAAAAGCAAUAAAACAAUUAAAGCAUAAGAAAGAUCUCACAGUAAUGUUGAAUCAAAGCUUUAUUAAUCUUCAACCAGAAUAAUAGGUUUAAUUCUUCAUAGAGAGAAGAGAAAAAUCUAGAUCUAGGGUUUUUUUUUAUUUGAUCCCCUUCAAAAAUCUACCUGCCCUUUGUUUUUCACGUCUCUUCUCUCUUAUAGAGUUCUUCCAAAAAUAAAAUACUAAUAUCUAAAAUAUUAUCUAAAUAUUAAAUUCAAAAUUACAAAAAUAACUAAAAAGACAAAACACGUUAAAAUAAAAACUGCAGGUCCUUAGUUGACAGCACGUGCCCAUGCCUUAUCAACAAUGUUCUUCUAAAGCUCAUAAUUUCUCCAGGAAAAUAAUCAUCCUCAAGCAUCAUCUUGUAGCUCAAUUUUAGCAUCAAUCAAUAGAAUUGCACCUACAAGAAUAAAACACAAGUAAAUCAUUAUUAUUAAGUGCAAAACGUCGAUAUUAAAGGAAGUAAACAAUACAAAACUAGUGCAUAAAUUACACUCUAACAUCCUUCACACGACACAAAGUCACAAACAGAGCAAAACAACACAUAAAUUGCAAACACAAUCUAAUUAAAUUGUGAAGACAGUAUAAUCAGAGCAUAACAACACAUAAAUUACAAAGACAAUAUAAUUAAAUUCCAAAAAGAGUAUAAUCAGAGCAUAACAGCAGGUAAAUUGUAAAGACAAUAUAAUUAAAUUGCAAAGAGGGAAUAAUAAAAAAGUAAUAGAGCAUAAACUGUAAAGAGAAAAGCCAAGACUCACAAAUAUUCACAGCAGUAGCUUAACGCAGCCGCACCGUGAGAGAGUGAGAGAGAUUAAUUGAGAAACGGGUGAGACUUGAGAGAGAUUGAGAGAGGAACCGAACAGAUGAGAGAUUGAGAGGAGAAAUUACAGUAGAGUUGAAGAGAGUGAGAGAUCGAGAGAGCAAUGAGUGAGAGAGAUUGAGAUUUGAGAGAGGCAGAGAGCCAAGACCGAGAGGAAGUGAGGAACGAAUUGAGAUUUGAGAGAGCUAGGUUUUUUUUAUUUAUAUUUAUUAAUUUCUAAAAAAUUAAUAUUAAAAUAAAUAAUAUAUGGAUCCGGGUUUUGGAUUUGCGGGUUCACUUGAAACCGGAUCUGGACGUAUGUGGGUUCUAAAAAACCGAUCCGGAUUCCGCAUUAAAUUUGUUCCGGUGCGGGUUGAACCCGGAUCGGAUUAUCCAGGUUCAGUCUGGGUUCGGUUGCCAUCCCUACUCAUCCUUAGUUUUUAGAGGAAAGAUCCAUGUAAAUCUAGUGUAUUCAUCAACAAAGCUUACAUAGUAUCUAUACCCCUGAAUUGAAAUUAUAGGGGCAGGUCCUCAAAGAUCAAUAUGUAUGACUUUAAGAAGAUGAUUGGUUUUUGUUUUUGUUGCUGGAAAAUGUAAUCUGUGCAUUUUUCCAACUUUACAAGCAUCACAGGAAUCACUAACUUUGUUUUUAUUGACAAACUUGAAAGAUGGACAAGACUGAAUUACAUGAGUUAGAAUUCUAGAAUUUGGAUGACCAAAUCUUUGAUGUAAUACAGAUGUACUCAACAAACAUUUGGAGUUUACACAAUCAUCUGUUGCAGUAGGCAAACAAGAAGUUUUAUUUUUGAAAUCAGACUCAACAGCAGAGAACAUUAAAAGAGGAGUUUCACUAGCUACUGCCUCAAUACCAGCAACAUGACUUUGAAAGGUUGUCGAAGGAAUUAUUGUUUUAGAGGAAACCAAUAGCAAUUUGUAUAAUCCCUUUUCAGCCUUACCUUGUAGCAUGAUCAAGUUCUUCACUUUGUCCUUCACAAAACAAAAUUUAUUAGUGAACUCAACUACAACAUUAUUAUCUUUAGUUAGCUGUGAUAUGCUAAUCAGAUUUUUGGUGAUUUGUGGUACAAGAAGUAUGUUAUUUAGUUUAAUUGUGGGAGAGGUAAUUAAGUUCUUUAGCUUAAACACAACAUGACCAACAUGUGUUAUGCACAAACUAGCUCCAUUUCCAACAAAAAGUUUAGAAGUACUUGUGAAAGCUUCACUGAUAUGCAUAUUACUCACAUCAUUUGUAAGAUGGUGUGUUGCACCACUGUCCAGGUACCAAUUACUAUCAGAUGGUCCAUCCAUGUUGGCUAGAUAUGUUGACCUUGGAUUUCUAUUUGGUGGUGGUCUAUAAGCACCAGAAGCCAUGAAUUCAGCAAGUUUCCAGCAGACAUUUGCAGUAUGUCCAGUUUUGAAGCAAAUCUGACAGGUUGGUUUAGAAGUAUUCCAAUUAGGUUUAGUGUUUCCAAAAGUUUUGGAGUUAUUGAAAUCACUAGGUCCAGCAUCUUGAUUCCAAUUUCCCCCACCACCUCUUUGAUUAUCUCCCGGAUAGCCUCUGUGCUGUGCAUUAGUACCAAAAGCAUUAGUAGAAUAACUAGAGUUUCCUUAUCCUCCUCUAUAAUCAUUAUUACCAGAUUUUUCAUUAUAGCCAUAACCAGAACCGUAUCCAAAAUUAUCAAAACCUUUUCCUCCUGACAUAUUUCCUCUCUUAGGUCCUCUGUUUUGAGAAAAAUUAGCCUCAAAGUUUUAUUUUACAUCUAUACCAGCAAGCAUAUGAUUUUGUUGCUCAAUCCUAGCCUCUUGAGUUAAAAGCAUAAGAUAGGCUUCAUUAAUAUUCAUCUUCCCAACACCUACUUGUCUAGUGAUACAUGUGGCAACAGAAUUAUAAUAUGGACCUAAGCCAGAGAGUAUGUGCAAAAUUAAAUCAUCAUCACUCAAAGUACUUCCAUCUGCAGCCAUAUUAUCAACAAUAUUUUUCAUCUUAAUAAAGUAGUCAGUGAUCUUCAAAUAAUCUUUUCUAGUGGAGUUCAUCAUGUACCUUAAGUGCAGAAGUCUAGAUUUAGAUUGUGAUCCAAACUGAGUUUCAAUAGCUUUCCAUACCUCCAAAGAAGUUUCCAGGUUGAAUACAAGACUGAUGAUGCCUUCACUCAUUGAGGAGAGUAACCAUCCGAGAAGCACUUGAUCUUGUGAGCGCCAUGUUAUGAAGUCUGGAUUUUCAACAAAUCUGAGAUCAUCACCAACUCUCUGAGCAAUGUGAGAAGCAAGUGGAGUGAUAGAUUCAUCAAUGAACUUCUCAAGUCUGUUACCUCGAAUUGAAGCUAAGACUUGUGACCUCCAUAUCAGAUAGUUUGACUGAUCAAGUUUAACAGGUGUAUUAAAAGUAAAGGUUACAGUCGAUGAGUUGACAUUAGUAUUCUGAAUUGGUGUAGAGGAUGAAGCAAGAUUUACUGAGGCCAUAGCUGGCUCUGAUACCAAGUUGAAAAACAAGAAAAUGAUGUUUGGAUACUGAGAAAGUUUUGAAAGAAGAAUUGAGAGGAAAUAUUCCAGAUCUUUCUAAUUCAUUUCAUUGUUCAUAAAAACAUAAUACAAUGAAGUUUAUUUAUAUAUACAAGAAUGCUGAACUGUAAUUAAGCUAAUUUCAACUAACUCUACAACAAACUAUUUUAGCUAACUUACUAACUAAUCAUGCACGUGUGACUUUGUAACCAUAUGAAGCCAGCUGGUAAUCCUUCUCAGCAACUUGUUGUGCUUCCUUAACAGCUGGUUUGAGAAGGCCAACUUGACAGAUUAAUUCCUUUUAAUAAUGGUCAAGAUAAUUUUAAUCUUCUCGUAAAAAAUUCUUACACACUUAUAUAUGAUAACGCCAUACAAAUGUAAUCAGCAUUGUCUUGUGCUGUUUUCUUCACUAAAGAUCUUCAAUCAAAACAGGUUAGAAAUCAAAUGCUUAACAUAGAAGUUGAAACAAAAUCUAAUUGAAUAUUGCAUGAAACAUGAAACAUCAAUUCAAGUCCUUCCUCAAACAGAGAAUGCAUCAAACAAAUCCAAAGUAUCUUGCAAGUCUGUAGCAUAAGCAAAACGCUGUAAAUACAUUUGGGGCAUUUAGUGUAAAUGUGUAUGAUAAAAAAUAUUUCUGGGAUUUAAUUUUUUGAUGGUUUUGUGUUUACGGUAUGUGAUUUGUUUGGAUUAAUGUGAUGUGUGUUCAUGCAUGCAAAAUUAGAGCAUGCCCAUAUCAAGAUUUUGUCUUAUUAUUAUUAUUAUAAUCAUUAUUUUUUUAUCUGAAUUAUGAAUUUAUUGAUUGGUUGGGGUCUUACAUGAUAAAUCCAAUUUAAUCUUAGAGACACUUUUAAUUUUUUAUUCUUUUUCUUGUUCAUGAUUGGUUGAGUUGUACACAUGAAAAGAAUUUAGUGGAAAUAUUUCUCAAUACUUGUAUGUGUUGGUACCUCUGUAUGUCAGUGAAUCAUGGUUACUCGUUUGAUAUCCUAGAAUCAACGUAGAAAUGCAUGUGGGAGGCUCUGUUCACUUUGAAGAUUGCGAAGAUUUAAUUUUGAGAAAGACAAGUCGAAGUAGAGAUAGAUCAUAAAUUUCCAGUUUGUUUUCAGUCAAAGCUUAAUUGUCGAAUACUUUCUUAAUAAAACUUGCAUUAUAGAUUUCUAUUUCCCGUACACGUUAGUGUGUCCAUCUUUGAACAUAGUGUACCUUACAGCUAACAGCACUCACACCGUUCGGCACAAGUUUCUUUAGUAAAUAUUCAUGCUGUGUAAGUGUGAUUGAAAAAUGAAGGGGAAAAAAAUCUUAAUUGUAUCCAUUACUUCAUAUCCAAAUUUUUUCCCCUGCUCUGGAAUGCUGUAUCAAUAUGGUAUGUCUGGUUGCAGUCAUGCUUCACUGUGGCCUGUGAGCUACCAGAAAUUGAUAAAUUCAUGGUUGGUUGAAGUAAUUUAAUCUACCCGCACCAAUUUAAAUUACCCAAAUAAAUGACUGGUUUGGUACUUCUAAAGCAUCGCCCAGUUGUGAAUACUCAUCAAAGGUAGAAGGUUAGACCAACCUUAGUACCAAAUGACACGUACAACACAAAUCCAUGUGGCUUCAAAUACAACAUUGAACGAUCUCAUCUUCAGCCAUGUUAGAACUCCGUCGGUUGGUUCUCAUCUCACGAUCGUGAACCAUGGAACCGGCUGAUUUGUGAAAUUGUUCGGGUAGCAAUGGAGCGACUUCCCAAACUGGCUCCCCAAGUUGAGAGAAACAAUACCUCAAUAAGAGUUCAAUGGUGUAGGCAGCAUCCAGCAGAGUCAUUUCAACGAAUUUAAUCAACACAGCUUAAUUCGAUUUUUUCUGCAUAAGAACCGAGUAAUUCUGCUUCUUUGAUCUUUAUGACUUGAACAAACUCCUUAAACCUUAUUUCGUCCGUUGAAGAAAGUCUUGGAGGCACCGCUGUUUAUGUUCUUCCAUGAACUGUAAGUUUGCUUUGCCAUGGUGAAGAGGUAUCCUCUUAUGAAUUUAGUUUAUAUCAAAAUAUGAGAGAGUCAAUAAUUGGAUGCAAGUCAAUAGCUGCAUGCAAUCUGAGGGCUAACAUUUGUUUGAUCAUUAUGUUAAAAAAAAAAAUGUUAUAAAACAGGAUUGAUUGAUGGCCUUUAACAGUCAGUUCUAUGACAAAGUAACCACCACAAAAAAGGGAAUCACAAGACAUCAAGAAGCUUGAACUUGGCAGGGGGUCUCAUUAGCAGUACGCCUCAGAAAUUAAGACAAAGACAAAGUGCAAGCUUAUGGAGCAAUUUAAGCACUGAAACUAAUAACAGUGAUAGACGAAGGUGCAGAAGUAUGGUAUUGGCAAUUGACCUCUGCUUUUGCUUAGACACAGGUUCUCAUUACAAAAGACUUAUUAGUAGCCCUCACCUAACAUGUUUGGAUGUUAAGGGGAAAAAGAAAGUUUGAAUUAUUCAAUCUCAUUUCUAAUGGCAUUCAUGGAGAAUCUAUAAAACAAAAAAAUAAAUAAAAAUUUUCAUCCAUGAAAAGCUUAGUAAUGGAAAAACCGACUCGUUUAUCUACCGCUGACCUAAUCCGGACUCAUUUAAUUAAAAAAGAAUACAAAGCCAAACUAAAAGACACAAAUUGCAUACAUGUCUAGGAGCCAUAUCAAAGCUGUUAUAUAACUUAUCCAAUUAUUAAAUUCUCUUACGGGUCAUAGCGUGCUUACUCAUUUCGAAAGCAGUUAAUGAUAAGAACUUUCAUCAUUAAUUGAUAUGGCCAAUGUAGAAAAACGGAAAAACCCCUCCAACAUCAAAGCACAAGGAUGAGUUUAGAAUUACACUUCUUAAUUACUUUUUUUUUAAUAAAUAAAAGUCAAUAUGAAAAUAGAAAAUAGUUUUGAAUUAAAAAAAAGUUUUGAAUAACUUUUUUUUUAAAAUGAAUAGAAAAACAGGGGAAUGAAAAGAUGGCCUCCGUUUCUCGUCUGUUUUGUUUUUACUGUUAUUAAACAGGGGAAUGAGGAAAGAGAUCCCCUGUCUCUACUCUGUUUUGAUUUUUUUAUUACUAAACUGGGGAAUGCAAAGAUCAAUUCUUGUUGCAAUCGCAAAUUUUUGUUUCUACCUUAGUACCUUCUAAAUGCUGCAUGCAUUAAAAUUAAUCUUACAUACGCUAAAAGUUCUGGAUAUAUCCAAAUUAUAUAAUGAUUUUAAAAGUUCAAAUUUAGCACUUAAUUUUAUAUGUUUGUACAUAAAUUUAAUGUGGGUAUCGUAUAUUGCAUUGUUGUUAUUCACAUUUUUUGUAUGCUGCAAUGAUCUCAAAACGGUAAAAUGCUUCGUGUGUCUCUUCUUUAUGUUUCUCGUUUCUGUGCAGGCAAAUCCUUCAUUGCAUAGUACUCUUCAGCUUGUACAAAGACGGCAUGCAUUUAGGUAUAAAUUCUUACACACUUAUAUAUGAUAACGCCAUACAAAUGUAAUCAGCAUUGUCUUGUGCUGUUUUCUUCACUAAAGAUCUUCAAUCAAAACAGGUUAGAAAUCAGAUGCUUAACAUAGAAGUUGAAACAGAAUCUAAUUGAAUAUCGCAUGAGACAUGAAACAUCAAUUCAAGUCCUUCCUUAAACAGAGAAUGCAUCUAACAAAUCCAAAGUGUCUUGCAAGUCUGUAGCAUGACCAAAACGCUGUAAAUACAUUUGGGGUCAAAUUAUUCAAGUACAAAAAAACGAACAAGUUGAAUCAUGGAUAAGAGAUUGUCCUGGUUCGAGAUAGCUUCUUUAUUGUACUUGAAGGGUGGGCUCAAUCUUUUCUUCAGAAUUUUGCACAUUUUGUAAUUAUUAAUGUGUAAGCAAGCAUACAAUACCACCAUCAUCAUCAUCAUAAUAAUAGUAAUUAAAAAAAUAGCAAGAGUAAUGAUGCGACCACAAACUCUUUUGUACAAAUAAUAUUGUAUAAACUAAUGUAACAUAAUACGAUUGGUUAAACUAAAACAUCCAAUGACCCUCAUGAUUUAUUUUUUAUUAUUAUAUAUUUCAGUCAACCAAUCAUAUUAUACCAUAUUAGUUUCUAUAAAAUAAUUUGCUAGCUAGCACCAAUAUUUAAUUAAUUAAUACUCACCAUUUCAUUGAACAAUUUUUGUAUGGUGUCAUUGAGAUUGCCUUCCCAGCAUCCUUCUUCUCCUUCGGUGAGUUUCACUUUGUUUAGCUUUGGUGUGUCUACAACUCCUUGAGAGAAAAUCUUCAUCUUUGGACACUGUCUCACAACUACUCGUUCCAAGGACGGGAAUUCAAGAGUAUAAUUACCCAAACAAAUGCUUGUUAGUUAAGGCAAACAAUCAAGUCCCAAGUACUCCAAUUUCCUGAAAACAAUGCAAUCUUUCGCUUCUUCUCCAACUUGCGAUUGUAUGAUUUCUUCUAUCAUUUUGCAAUCAACUAUCUUCAUUUUUUUAAGAUUCACUAGACUUUUAGAUGUUAAGAACGUCAACACAUUUAUCAACCCGUGACAUUUUGAUACUUCCAGAGUCGCCAGAAUUUCCAAAUGCCAUGAAGGCGGUACUAAUUUUUGCAACUUACUACAUUCCGAUACGUCUAGACUUUGCAAAUUUGCAAAAACUUUGUUGGAUUCGGCAUUUUCCUUCCAGAGAUGCAACACAUUGGGUAAUCUAGACAGCUUUAACCGUCUCAAUUUGGGGAAUGCAACCUGAAAAUCAACAAACUUAAGUUGUAAAGAAAAUACAUAACUAAUCUCUGCAGUCCUCCCAACAUUUUAUAUUCAAAUUGGUUUCAUUUUUGGAAGGAACCAAAAAAAAACAAACAAAUUAAUUACCCUUGAAACACAUAAAUCAAAUCUAAUGCUAAAUCCAAUAUGAAUUAGCUAGGAAAACAGAGAUGUAAGGCGUAAAAUGGAUAUAAUUCACACCAUGUUACCGAUCAUCUAAUUAAUUUGAGACAUUUUUAUAAUUCUUAUUGUAAAGUUAGUUAAUAAUAACAAUAAUACUGUUAAAUCAUAUAUAAAUUAAGACAACUUCUAGGAAGAUGAGUCAUUAAAUUUGAUUUUGAGUCUAAUGAAAUUACACCUAUGCGAAUGAAAGUGAAGAAGAAAUAAUAAUAAUAAUAAUAAUAAUAAUAAUAAUAAUAAUAAUAAUAAUAAUAACCACCUUUUCAUCGAAGGGUGGUUCUAUAUGAUCAGCUAGCUGGAAGUUCUCUGAUUUUAUUUCUUGAGGUUCCUUAUUAUCCGCUGUCAUGUGCUGCGCAGACAUAGAAUUGGAGAUGAAUGUUUUCAUAUUAGGGCAAUUCUCAAUGGUCAGAUGCCACAACUUAGGUAGUUCAAUUAUACUCUCGUUGGAGUUGCAAAAUCUUUUGAGUUUUGGAAGAUCCAUGAUUUUUAGUUCCCGUAGUAAAGGAAAUAGUAGACCAAAAUGUUCUUUGUUAGUGAAUUAGAUGAAGCUGGAGCAGAGCAUGAUGUUGCUAUGUAGCUGGUUGUAGCAGAUCAAAUCAUUAAGCUAACCUGUCAAAGUUAGUUAGCUGGUUGAGCUUAUGUGUCAAGUUAGUUAUACAGCAAAUGGUUAUGUGUUGCAACAAUCUCGUGUGUGUGUAAAGAGAUUGUAGCUCAAUAUAAAUAUUAAUCAGUAGUCAUUAAACUGUAAGCUUGGAAUAAUAAAAGAUCCAACAGAUUUCUUUGCAAAGCUCUUUUUUUUUUUUCUUUCAUUUUCUAGCCUACCAAACAAUAUAGAACUAAGUUUCUUUCAUGGUAUCAGAGCCAUAAAUGGCAAAUAUAGUUCAAAACAACAACUCUUUCAGUUUUGUUACGCCAUGUUACGCCAGUAAAGCUAGAUCAAAACAACUUCAUUCGGUGGCGCACACAAAUUUUAACUUCAAUCAAAGGAAACAGUUUGGAAGGGUUUAUCAAUGGCGAUCGAGAAUGUCCUGAGCAGUUCCUUUCUUCUGGAAACAACAAUGGAGCUGAAGUUUUAACUGAAUCUGGAUCCAGAUCUAUUAAUCCAGAAUUCGUAGCUUGGAUGAAGACUGACCAACUCUUACUGAGUUGGAUGAUGUCAUCGAUACAGCAAAAUCUGCUUGCUACUGUGAUUGAUUCUACAACUUCAAAACAGCUUUGGGAGACUCUUGCUAGUAUGUUUAUCUCUCAAUCACAAGCUAGAAUUCAAACACUUAGAAUGCAAAUUCAAACUAUUAAGAAAGGUGCAAUGCAUAUGUCUGAUUAUUUUGUAAAAGUAAAACGCAUAGCUGAUACUUUAGCUCUAGCUGGAAAACCUAUUAAGUUAAAUGAUCUUCUGAUGCAUAUAUUAACUGGUCUUGAUUCAUCAGACUAUGAGUCUUUAGCCACAGCUGUGUUAGCUCGAGGUGAAAAGAUCACAUUAGAUGAACUAUAUUCUUUGUUGUUGAAUCAUGAAAAUAGAGUUGAGCAAAAGAAAGGAAAAAUUGCUGGUGAUGUGAUGCAUAACAUGACAGCAAAUAUUGCUCAGAAGAACUCAAAGCUUCAACAACACUUUUAUAAUUGAGUCACAAUACAAUUUACAGUAGUGUGAGAAUCUUUUCAAGGUUACAAUCUCACAAAACUCGUGAGCACAGAUUCUAAUACACAUAACAAACUUUUGGAGGGAAGCUGAUAAGCUCUAUAACUAACUGCAAAACUGACUUCCAGCGUGGCUUGAUGACUCAGCAGCUGACUCAUCAUAUGUUAUUCUUAACACAUUUUUGUUCCUUCAACUACAACUAUCUAAUAUAAUAUUCUUUUGAUGACUGAAGAUCAAUCGUGAUAAUAUUAAUUAAAUAAUUAAUCAAUCAAUUAAUUAAUUAUUAAACAAAAAAUUUUCACCUUGUGAACAUGAUCAUCCUCUGCAAUGAUUUCUUUGAAUCCCUGAGUAGUUGUUGGUUUCUCCUUGUCGGGCCCUAUAAAUGAACAAAAACAAUAUAUAAUUAACCUCUAUUGUUUUUUUCACCAAAAAAAAAAGAAGAAUGAGCCAAUGUCAAUAAUCCUACCAAUAAUUAAUUUCAACACUUACCAAUAAUCAUUUUCAUUUCACGGCAAUCUUCCACUUCUACUUUAUGAAGCCGCAAUAGGUUUUUAGCCACAGAGAAUGAGAAGAGAUGCUUCAAUUUGCCACAAAAAGCUACUUUUAUAAUCCUUAAGUUGCUGAAGGAUUGAUCUUCUCUGAGUUGGCUGUAGCAUAUCGUCUCCAAAUUAGUUAAAAACAUAAGAGACAAUGACUCCAGCCAGGGAAAGACUUCGCAACGAACCCGUCCAACUGAACCGACAAUAUGUAAAAUCUUAGAGUUGUUGGAAAAAUAUGCUCUUUAAAAGCAUAUGUGUUUAUUUAAUUGUAAUAAACAAUUUUUCUGAUUAAUAAAAUAAAUGAGGUAUUUUAUUCAAAUAUCUUAAUUACAUUAAUAUUUGUAUUAAAGUCCAUUUAAUCAUAUUAUAUGUAUUUAUGUGAUCACCAUGUGGAUUCACAGAAGACAUAAAUACAAGUUAUCUUAUGAUUAAAUAAGUUUAGUUCGCAGUUGAUAAAUAAAGUUGGGCACUUUAUUUAGGUAUAAACUGUAAUAAAUUCAUUGAAUGAUUUGUCUUAAUCAUGUAUGAAUUUAUUGAUGUAGUACGACUACAUUGAACAGGAUCACAUAUGAGAUUUAAUUAACUUUGUAAUAACUGUCAGACUUAUUAAAUCUCAUAGGCAUUGAUUUUACUGUAAUCUUAAUCUUGAGUUAAUUAUGAUUUCAUGAUUGUAAUUGUUAUUCCAUUUGAGUUACCAAUGGGCACGACACAUACUUGUGGUCAAGAUUACCCGGUAUCUUGGUGGGAGCAAUUAUGAGUAUUGGAGUUAUGGAUUAACAAUAUAGAAUUUGUACAACACAUCUCUUGAUAGGUUUUCGGCACUUGAUCAUUGAAUUCUCUGGCCAAAGUGCGUCAACAUAUUUAGUAUGUUGAAAAUGAUCAUUAGAGAAAACCAGUAAGGAUCAAGGAAAAAGAUGGUAUUAAAUUGAUUGGACAGUUGAGAUAUCAAUUUAAUUAACGAUGUGGUACAAAGGAUUGUGCAGUAAAGAAAUCAAUGUGGCUUGGGACGAAUUAUUAUUCGAGCAUACAAUUAUGGAAGUCAGUUCCAAUCUUUUAGUGGAGUAGAUUUGGAAUUAAAUAAUUAGGCUAGUUUAAUUACAGGCCUAAUUGUUAUAGCCACUAUUGUAUGUUCCCAAAUGAUCCCCGGGUUAGCUCAUUUAAUUGACUGCACCACUACUGGACUAAUAAGCAAGAUAACUAGCUAUUUGGGCCAAAAGCCUAAAUAUAUCAUUUAGUGAGAGGCUCCAUUUAAUUAGCUUAUGUAAGGGGCCUUAUGUUAUUUUACAUGGUGGGUCCCCUAUUAAAUGAAAAGUACCGUGUAGGGUUUUCACUAAAGGGAGAUAUAUAAGGCUUAUUUUCUUAAAAGAAAAAGGUGGAGCCACUUUAUACAGAUCAGAGAAAAAGAUUUUUCUCUCUAUUGUUGAGAGAAAAAUUUUCUCGUGCUAGUUGCUUUGGUAGUGAUAAAGGCGCCCACACGUCAAGUGCAGAUCGAACCUGAGUCAUAAGCUGGAAGAUCAUUGGUGACAGUUCAUGAUCUAACAAGCGUGUUGGUGCAGGAUCGUGAUCUAACAGGAGUGGUGGUGGCGGAUCGUGAUCUAGGAGCCUAAAUCACUUCAACGGAAAAAGCCAAAUCGGAUUUUCAAGGUACGAUUUCUAGAAUACAAAUUCUUAUAUAUUAUAUGAGAGCGAUCUUCAAAAGGUUUUAUAAAAAUUUAAAAACCUGAUUUUUCCCAACAAGAGCAAUAUGUUACAUUAAGAUGCUUCAACUGUGGAAAACCUUCCCCAUCGUCUAAUUCAUGAACAACAUUCUGAACACCCUUCAGUUCCCGUAGACAAAGAUCUUCGGUUCUCUUCAUUAACAUUUUCGUCCCAUAAUUCUCCAAAAGAAUGCUAACUUUUCCUAGCCUCUUGAGUAUCAUCAAUCUUGAUGUUUCAGAUUUGACGUGCCGUUGGCCCAACUUAUCUCCGAUACAUAUCCUAUAUCUUUGCAAUUCCACAAAGACCAAAUCCUGCGGCAGAAUUUCGGCAUCUGGAACAUCUAUCUCCAAAGUAGUUAGCUUUGACAACCCCUUCAACUCGGUAAGACUGGCAUUGCUUCCUCCUUCAACCUUAUCCCACUGUGAAAAGCUGUUAUCCAUAUACAGUUCUUCUAAUCGAGAUAAUUUUGAAAUGACAUUCGGUGCUAUCACCUCAAGGUUCCAACAAUUGCUCAAAUCUAACAACCUUAACCGUGUCAAUUGUCCAAUUUCAAGUGGCAGCUGCUCAAUAUUAGAAUCUCGAAAGCUGAGAAUAUCUAACUUCUUUAGCUGUCCAAUUAUGGCUAUUUCAUUCAGUACACAACCAUCUAAACAUAAUGUUUGAACAUUGAAGAGGCAACCAAGUGAUGAAGGUAAUGAAGGGAUUCGAGCAUUAGUAAAAUGUAAUACUUUGAGUUGUUUCAUGCCUUCAAAAAAGAGGUCUGGGAUUAUUAAAGAGCUACGAAACUUUGUAAACAACAAAAGUAACUUGAGUUUUGGACAUUCCAGCCGUUCUGGAAGCUCAGAAGCCUUUCUUUUGUUUAAAGGUAGAGAAAUAGCGGUUGGUUCCUUCUCUAUUGUCCUUUCUAUCUCUUCCUUCAAGUCAGCAACAUUUGGGAUAUUAAACAUAAGCUUUUCUGAGGCAAUUGAUACAGCAAUAGCAUGAAUAAUGUCGUGCAUUUUAGCUUCAUCUUCAGCAUCACCAUCCAACAAUAAGCAUGACGAUUUGAGAAUGUCGAUCAAUGUAUCCACUCUAUUCCUUGCUGCUUCCAAUGUGUAAACAUUUUUAAACAAACCCAAACCCAUACCAUUUCUCAAUAAGGAAGGAACUUCUAGAGAAUGACCUUGACCGUAUAGACCACAAAGAAGGAACAAAGACUUUGCUUCAUCACUUUCCAAAAAUUUGUAACUCAAUUCUAUGGAAGUGUAGACAUUUGCAUCCAUUCCAUGAAUUUCUCUUGAAUUAGAAUUUCGCAGCUGAUUCAACGCAUCCUUUCAAAUGGCAAGCCUCUUAUUUUUCAGAGCAUUUGCAACUGUACUCACUGCGACUGGCAAAGCUCCACAUCUUUUAACAAUCUCAUUUGUUAUAGGUUGAAAAGCAGAUGUUUUUGUUGAAUCGCCGACUAUCUUCUCAAACAACUGCAAUGCUUCUUUGUCUGCUAAGAUUUCAAUUGAGAAAUUUUUCUGAGAUUUCAUAUCAUCAUGCAAUAAAUCACGACUUCUAGACGUCAAUAUUAUUGUCCAUCUUCUCUGAUCAUCCUCUCUACCUUUCUCAUCAACAUCUCCAGAAGGAAUUCCAACCGCAUCCAACUCAAGUUUUGUCCAAAUAUUAUCCAAUAUAAUGAGGACCCGCUUCUCUUGCUUCAACCUUUCACGCAGUCGAGAAGCUCUAUGGUGUAUACUAUCAUUCAAGUCAAAUUUCAUGCCUAAAUCAGAAGCGAGCUUGUCUUGAAUUUUCUGGGGAUCUGGGUUCUCUGUUACCCACAGCCAUAGCGACCUUAUCGAACAAGUUAUCUUCCAUCACUUGCUUUGCAACUUGCUUGACGAGCGUGGUUUUCCCCACGCCGCCCAUCCCGUAGACCCCAAUUAUCUUGAGCUUAUCGUCCUUCAACGCCUCCACAACAUCUUGAAGUACUUUCAUUCUUGAAUCAAAGGCCUCGAAAUCUUUCGCUUGCAUAUGUUCUGCCCGCUUUGGAGCAGGACGGUAGGAAACAUUAGAGAAGUUGCCUUUUCCCACGAGACUAGCGGCAGCUUCUGCGGCCUUUGCUGCUUGUUUACUAAGCUUGUAACGAGAAAUCAAGUUUGGGCACAAUCCUUUGAAGCAGGACUUCUUAGCUCUAUCUUCAACAUCAAUGAUGGAUUUUGCAACCCCUUCACUGAUGAAUUCGUCAACGCUAUGUAGCCAGUCUGUGACACCCUCAUAAAGCUCAUCCCCUUGUAGCCUAGCAUGAUUAACUGGUUGCUGCACCAUUUCUCUUUUAUAUCCCAGCUGCUUUACUUGAUCUUUUAGCUUAUCUAUGUAGCUCUAGUACUUGAACACAUAAGAUAUCUCCCGUAUAAUUGGUUUGAACAGUGACUUUGCACCUUCUGAUACGAUGCUGGAAAAAGCAGCCAGACCCACCUCUGCCAUUGCCUGCUGCUUAACAAAUCUAAUAAUAUGUCAAAUAAACUAAAAUGAACUAGAAGGAAAGACAAGAAAGGAAAAGACAGCAAACAGUAUCGCAACAUUGAUCUUGAAUCAACUGAAACAUGAACAGAGCAUUUUUUCUUCUUUAUUAAGGAUCAGAGUUUUUGCUAUUAACAGAAACGUACUUCAAGUGUCUAAAAAAACAACUAUAAAUGAACAAUAACUACAAAACUCAAGCAAAACAAGCCGUAAAAGUUUUAUCAUGGAAAGUGGAUGGAAAUUGAGAAAGAAAUGCUAUAAAGAUCAAGCAUCAGAGAUUAUGCUAUUAAAAGAAAUUAAUUGAAGGUUUUAGUACAAGUGCACAUGUUUAAUUAUAUGGCAUCAGAAAGUUGAUGAGCUAAUGUAAUCGCCUUGAAUAUUUAAGAACAAUUUCAAUGAGCAAAAAAAUUUCUGUUAACUGCAAAGGAAUGUGAUUAUAGAGAGCUUAUGAAAGUAAUGAUUUGCAAAAGAAGAAGACUUAAUAAUGCAGCCCUUAAUAUUUAUUAAAUGACUUGUGAUCAUUUCUUUUAUGAAUAAAAUGCCAGCAGCAAAAAUAGAAAAAAGGGCUAAAUUUACUAAGUCUUAUUUUAUUUUUGAUUUCUUUUAUUUUCAUUCGCCGAAGAGGGAGUCUCUCUCUCUUUUCUUUUUUCUUUUUUUUUUAAAGGGAAUCUCCUUACCUAAUAUGACAUAAUGAAAGCAAUCCGUAAAUAGUACAAUAAUCAUAUAAUAUAAUGAUAGAAAGCAAGUGCAUGAGCCACGAAGAUCUGGAAGAAUGCCAAAGCCAAACCAUAAGUAUAUUACGUGAGAGCAUAAGUUGAUUCCCAUGCAAGCCAUGCAUGACACAUGCAUGUGCAGUUUCACGUGUGGAAAUUGUAAAGAUGAGUACUGGAGCCAUGAUUUUGGGAUGACCUUAUCAAGUUGAUUUUGGGAUGACCUUAUCAAGUUGCUUUUGAUUAUCUUUACGAAAUAUUAGCUAGGUCGUUAUUUUAAUAUUUGUUUUAUUGAUUUCAGCCGUGAUUGUAGAUUGAAAAUCAAGGUCUUGUGAUUAUAAAUAAGCUCCAGAAUAUGAAUAAAGGCAUUGAGAAUUCUAAACAACAAUUAUUGGGUCCUUUCUCGCCAUAAGCAGAAAAAUAUCACUUGUGUUACGCGUGAUCAUUGGCUGUCUCUGACUGGGACCUAACAUUGGUAUCAGAGCUAGCUAUCAAUGAGGACCAACAAGGAGCGCAUCGAACGAAUUGAAACUGAUAUCGGGAGCUUACAGAACAAGAUGGAACAAAUGGAAAUUGGGUUCAAUGACAAGCUGCAACGUCUGGAGGAUACCAUGAACAAAUUGGUUGAAUCUUUUAGUGCAACCAGAGGCACUGCCAGUCACGGCACUAACGAGAACAUUGGAUCUUCACGACACGACACUAACGAGAACAUUGGACCUUCACGAUCAUUCCGCGAGGAAAGUGAAAGAGGUCGACCACCGAUGCCGACAAGACUUGCUAAGUUGGAGUUUCCCCGCUAUGCCGGCGACGACCCAACGGAGUGGUUCAAUCGGGUAACGCAGUAUUUUGAGUACCAAGAAACCACAGAUGAGCAGAAAGUAGUCUUAGCGGCAUAUCACUUGGAGGGCGAAGCAAAUCAAUGGUGGCAGUGGAUGUGCAAGGCUUACCGAGAAGAAGGUCGACCGGUUACGUGGGAAAUAUUUGUUGACGAGUUGUGGGCGCGCUUCGGACCCACUGAUUGUGAAGACUUUGAUGAAGCAUUGUCUCGGGUCAAACAAACAGGUUCUCUGCGAGAAUACCAAAAGGAAUUUGAGAGGUUGGGAAACCGAGUUCAUGGGUGGUCACAGAAAGCGUUGGUAGGCACUUUCAUGGGAGGGUUGAAAACGGAGAUUGCAGAGGAUAUACGGAUGUUCAGGCCACGAACGUUAAAGGAAGCCAUUAGCCUUGCUCGUAUGAAAGACGACCAGAUAACACGCCAACGAAGAUUAUUCCGACCAACAAUUGUCAGCCGAACACCGCCGGUCCCCAAUCGAGCAUCACCAACAGUACCCUUCAAACGACUGUCUUGGGAGGAGAUGCAACGUCGACGUACACAAGGGUUAUGCUUCAACUGUAAUGACAAGUUUACCGUUGGCCACAAAUGCACCAAGGCACAAUUACUGAUUUUAGAAGGCGAACCACAAACAGAAGAAUUCAUCUAUGAAGAGGUCACGGAAGAUGAUCCAACAACGGGACCAGCAGAAAUGGAAAAACCUAAAAUCUCUUUAUAUGCAUUAACGGGAUGGACUGCACCUCAAACAAUGCGAGUCAUGGCAAGGAUUGGGCCGUACAAAAUAAUAGUCUUAAUAGACAGUGGGUCCACCCACAAUUUCAUUAGCACUAAACUUGCUAAUUUGCUCCAAUUACCCGUCAAACCAAUGGAGACUUUCACAGUACGCGUUGCCAACGGUGAAAGAUUGACAUGUCAAGGGAAGUUUGAACAGGUACAACUUUUCAUUCAAGAUAUUUCUUUUUCACUCACGGUUUAUUCUCUACCGAUAUCAGGAUUAGAUAUGGUACUGGGUGUGCAAUGGCUCGAACUAUUGGGUUCAGUCGUAUGUAAUUGGAAGACAUUAACUAUGGAGUUUGAGUGGGGAAACCGGAAACAACGCCUACAAGGGAUAAAUCCGCAAAUGGUACAGCCAGCAUCGGUGACAGAAGUAACGAAGGAAAUUAAACAAGGUCAUGAGGUAUAUGCAAUUUGUUUCCAAAUAAAACUAGAAGAGUCGCUGGGCACGUUACCACCAGAUAUGCAGCAGCUGUUGACAAAUUAUGAGGCAUUGUUUUGUGAGCCCACGCAGCUCCCUCCUCCACGAGACAUUGAUCAUCGAAUUCCAUUAAAGGAAGGUACCGAGGCAAUUAACGUAAAACCGUACCGGUACGCUUAUUUCCAAAAAGCAGAAAUUGAAAAACAAGUACAAGAGAUGCUCACUUCAGGGUUAAUCCGGCCAAGCACCAGCCCUUUCUCCUCACCGGUGCUGUUGGUAAAAAAGAAGGACCGCAGUUGGCGCUUUUGUACCGACUACAGAGCUCUAAAUCAAGUCACCAUCAAAGACCGUUUUCCAAUUCCAACGGUUGAUGACAUGUUAGGCGAUCUCCAUGGUGCCGCAUAUUUCACAAAAUUGGAUUUAAGGGCAGGGUAUCAUCAGGUGCGAGUUAAUCCUGCGGAUGUCCAUAAAACUGCAUUCUGAACUCACAACGGGCAUUGCGAAUACCUAGUGAUGCCGUUCGGAUUGUGCAAUGCACCAUCAACGUUUCAGGCUUUGAUGAAUUCUAUUUUCCGUCCUUACCUCAGAAAAUUUAUACUUGUAUUUUUUGAUGACAUACUAAUUUACAGCCCCACGUGGAGCUGCCAUUUGAACCAUAUGAAACAGGCACUAGAAAUUCUUCGAGAACAGCAACUUUUUAUCAAGGCAAGCAAGUGCAAUUUCGGGCAGUAGGAAUUGGAGUAUCUAGGUCACAUAGUCACUUGUCAUGGCGUAAAGGUAGAUGACAAGAAAAUUGCGGCGAUGGUAACUUGGCCCCGGCCACAAAACAUCUCCGAGCUGAGGGGAUUCCUUGGUCUCACCGGAUAUUACAGAAAAUUCGUGCAAAGGUAUGGGUUGCUUGCUCGGCCACUCACUAAUCUUUUGAAGAAAGGACAGUUCGGCUGGAGUGACGAAGCGGAAAAAGCUUUUGACAAUUUAAAGAAGGCUAUGACUAUUACUCCAAUGCUCACCAUGCCCAACUUCAAUGAUACUUUCAUUAUUGAAACUGACGCUUCCGGCGAUGGUAUUGGUGCGGUGUUACAGCAGCAAGGAAAACCAAUAGCGUACAUGAGUAGAGCUCUCGGCAUCACAAAGAAAGCUUGGUCAGUUUACAACAAAGAGAUGCUCGCCAUUGUGGAAGCUAUUCGAAUAUGGAGGCCAUACUUGUUAGGGCAGGGUUUCACAAUCCAAACUGACCAUCGCAGCAUCAAGUUCUUCCUGGAACAGAAAGUCGCAACACCGGAGCAACAAAAAUGGAUGGUAAAAUUAAUGGGCUAGGAUUAUGAAAUUGUUUAUAGGCCGGGUCGAGAAAAUACAGCCGCAGAUACGUUGUCACGACGUUUUGACAGCCCAACUCUAUUUCAUGUCUUUAUUCCGCAGGUUGCUAUAUGGGAAGAAAUAAAAAACGCGGCCAGCAAUGAUGAGUACAUGAAGAGAAUAAAUUCAGUUGUGCAAGCCCAACCUUCAGGGCCUUACACGUUGCGGGAUGGCAUGAUAUUUUUUAAGAAUAAAGUAGUAGUUCCACAAGCAUUACGGGACACACUCCUAUUUCAAGCACAUGACACAAAGAUAGGAGGUCACUCUGGAAUUCUUCGCACAUUCAAACGUUUAUCACAACAGUUCUACUGGCCAUCCAUGUUCCAAACUGUGCGUGAAUACUUGAGUAAAUGUGCAACUUGUCAACAAACAAAGGCAGAAACACUCAAGCCGGCAGGACUUCUCCAGCCUCUGCCAAUCCCGUGUCAGGUGUGGGAUGAUAUUACACUAGACUUUAUUGAAGCUUUACCCUGGUCACAAGGGAAGAAUGCUAUUUUGGUAGUGGUAGAUCGACUGAGUAAAUCAACACAUUUUAUGGCUCUUUCUCAUCCUUACUCAGCAAAAACAGUGGCGGAAAAAUUUAUUGAGGGAGUAGUGAAGCUGCACGGCAUGCCCAAAUCAAUCAUUAGCGACCGAGACCCUAUAUUCAUCAGCAGAUUUUGGCAAGAGUUCUUCAAUUUAUCCAGCACCAAACUCAAAAUGAGCUCGGCGUACCACCCGCAAACCGACGGCCAAACGGAGGUAAUUAAUCGAUGCUUGGAACAGUACUUGAGAUGUUUUGUUCACCAAUGGCCGCGAAAGUGGCAUUCUUUUUUGCCGUGGGCAGAAUUUUGGUACAACACCACAUUCCACGUCUCCACCGGAAUGACUCCAUUCCAAGCUUUGUAUGGAAGACCACCUCCAACCGUGCCCAUGUAUCAACUUGGUUCCUCGCCGGUGCAUGAGGUUGAUCAAGCCUUACAUUCACGUGAUGAACUGCUCUUACAAUUAAAGAAAAACUUAGUCACAGCAGCUAACAGGAUGAAGCAAACAGCUGACAAGGGUUGCCGCGACGUUGAGUUCAAACAGGGAGAUAUGGUGUUAUUAAAGUUGCAGCCCUAUCGGCAGACUUCAGUGUUCAGAAGAGCACAUCAGAAAUUAGCUUGCAGGUACUUUGGGCCGUAUUUAGUUCUUCGCAAAGUUGGAGCCGUGGCCUACGAACUACAAUUACCAGAGAAUGCUCGAAUUCACCCGGUGUUUCACGUCUCUUUGCUUAAGAAAGCCGUGGGUGAUUAUGAUAGAAAGCAAGUGCAUGAGCCACGAAGAUCUGGAAGAAUGCCAAAGCCAAACCAUAAGUAUAUUACGUGAGAGCAUAAGUUGAUUCCCAUGCAAGCCAUGCAUGACACAUGCAUGUGCAGUUUAACGUGUGGAAAUUGUAAAGAUGAGUACUGGAGCCGUGAUUUUGGGAUGACCUUAUCAAGUUGCUUUUGGGAUAACUUUAUCAAGUUGCUUUUGAUUAUCUUUACGAAAUAUUAUCUAGGUCGUUAUUUUAAUAUUUGUUUUAUUGAUUUCAGCCGUGAUUGUAGGUUGAAAAUCAAGGUCUUGUGAUUAUAAAUAAGCUCCAGAAUAUGAAUAAAGGCAUUGAGAAUUCUAAACAACAAUUAUUGGGUCCUUUCUCGCCAUAAGCAGAAAAAUAUCACUUGUGUUACGCGUGAUCAUUGGCUGUCUCUGACUGGAACCUAACAUAUAAUAAGUAAAAAUACCCAUAUAUGUAUAAUAAUAAUGAUGGGAUCCAUAUGUUUAUACUAAUUAAAUUGGUGGACCAGAAUUUAUUUGACCUUACUUGUUUUCUAUUUAAUUAAAAUUGAACCGAUAGAGAAAAAUUGUCGUAUUGAUUGUUUCGAUUGUGGAGUUCCAACACUGAAAGUGAAGAUUUCAUCAACUUUCACAUGGACACGUACCGUCAUGCAUAUUGCAUUAUAUUCCUAGAAAAGCAAGAUUAAUUCUUUUAAUAAGCAAACGCGUAGGUGGGAAUCCAUUCAUGAAACAAGUGGAACGACAAUAUCAAACCAAUGAUAAUUCAAAAUCUGAAUCCGCCUGAUGGACGGCAACUCAUCUGAACCAUUCUCCUUUAGUAACAGGAGAAUAAAAUUAUAUCGAUGAUAGAUAAUUUCAAAACAGGGGAAUGAAAACAGAGGAACCUGAUUUUCCUCCCCUUUCUUUUUUCCCCCAACUCUUCUUCUUUUUAUAUUUUCCUUGGAAUUUUUGGCAAACGAAAAAAAAAUAUUACUAGUAAGCAAAGGGGAUUGAUUGAGGGUACAUUUGGGAUUUCUUUUAUUUCUUUAGGUUAUAGGUGGUUUACUUAUCAUGACUUGCACUUAGGAAUGGAUUAUGCACUUGUUUAGUCAUCAAUCAUGAGAACAUUUCUUUUUAAAGCAUCUAAUCAGCUUCAAACUAAUAAAAAAUUCUUUUUUCCCCCAACUCUUCUUCUUUUUAUUUUUAUAUAUUUGAUAAGCACGCUCACUAUUAAUAGAAUUCAUUAGAUAUCUUAAUUUAAAUAACUUCUUGUAGGGUGUUUGGUAAAUGAUGAUUAUUUGACAAUCAAUUUUCAAAUAAUCUACUAUACAAAUUUGAUAAGUGAAAAUUAAAAGUGUAAUAUUCAUGUGCAAUGAUAAAAAUGUACUUGUUUGCUUAUUUGUAGUUUAUUCGGAAUAUUAUUAUUAACAUCAUUUUUUUAUUUACUGGAUUUUUAAAGAGUAUAUUCUAUUUUCUUUAUUACAUAUCUAUAUCAUUUUUUUAUUAACUAUUUUAAUUUGCAAUAAAACUAACUUUAAUAUUUUUUUAACUAAAAAAAUUCAUGCUAACAUAUUAUCAAAUUGAUUAAUAAAUAAGUGCAAAAAGAAAAUGCAAAAAUUUAAUCUUUAUAUAAACUUUUAUGUACAUAAAACUAUUGCAAUCAAAGUAGUUCAUAAAAAUAAAAUAUUAUAUACAUGUGUGUAAAAAAAUAUAUAACUAUAAUAUUGUCCACUCAUUAAACUUGCAGCACUAUUAUUUCUCAAUCUCCCCAUCUCUCGACCUUUAGGAACAUUAAUACUAUGAUCUUCUUCUUAAAUUCGACCUCCAUUUCCACAGUAUCAACAAGGCGAUCAAUUUGCUGUGACAGCCUUUCAACUCCUCCCACUUUCCUCCCUUUUGCGGCCGCUCUUUUUCCUUUUCUUUCUUUGAUAGCUUCAAUGGGAACAAACUCAUCUAACGACAAGUACAUUCUUCAACCACAGUAGAAUUGGUAGUUGAUAUUUUACUACUCUCAGAUGGUAUCUAAACAUGGUCACCAGUGAUUGUUAUAUUAAAAAAAAUUCUAUUCAAAUUUUCCUCUGACUUUGUGUCGAUACCUUUCAUGCAAAAUCUAUUUGCUUCAGAAAUUUCUUCCGUAUGUUGAUAUCAUAUUAAAGUGAAUUCAAGAUCCUAUAUUAUUUUGCAUGACAUCAAAAUUUAGCCGAAUGGUAAAGAAUUUCCCUUUUUGUUUGUCCCACAACUAUAUAGUCUCAUUUUUGGCAAUAAGCUCACAAUAUGCACGGAAAUGAAGAUUUAUUAAAAACUUCCCUAUAAUAUUAAACACUAAACAAUAUCACUAUGUUGUGCAUAUGGUGCCUCGUCAACAAUUUGAUGUUCAUUUUGUUGCUCGGGUGAAUAUGACUACUUGCGUUGCGAGUCCAUGCUUUUGUCGUUUGGAUGGAGGACGGGCCAUCUUUUUAUUUUAGAUGGUUUGUAGGACUUCUGAUAAUUAUUUUUCUAAAACUGAUUUAUGGUUAAUAAGACCUAUGAAAGCAUUCAAAGAAGCCACCGAACUCAGAGGAAAGCCAUGGUUAAAUAUACUGUGAAGCACGUGAGCUCGUUUUUUAAUCUCCUGAUCACUCAUAAGCUUUUCUAUACCACUCACUAUAUCAUCCUUUUGAAUCGAUUUUGAUUGAUCAUCAGAGAUCAUGUACCCACCUUGAGAUGAUUGAUCACAAAUUUGGCAUUGUAAUGUUGGUCACCUCUAAUUGGCCAUGCUAAAAUUGGGACUCGACAACCAAUUGCUUCUACUGUUGAAUUCCAUCCACAGUGAGAUAAAAAUCCACUCGUUGAUUGAUGAUUCAAUAUCAAUGAUUGUGGCGCCCAUCCAUCUAUUAUCAAACCCUUUUUACCGACUUUAUUAUCCAAACCACUACGAAAAUAACUGCCUUCAGCUGGUUUGUCCAAAUGACGUAGAGGAUCCAAUCUACCUGCACCACCUUGAAUUACCAAAAUAAACGGUCGAUUUGAUGCUUCUAAAGCAUUGGCUAGUACUAAGUACUCAUCUAAGGUCGGAUCCACUUCAGUACCAAACGACACAUAUAACACAGAUCCACGUGAUUUCAAAUUCAACCAAUCUCAUCUUCCGUCAUGUUAGAACUCCGCCGGUUGGUUCUCAUCUCAUGAUCAUGAAGCUUUGAACCGGCCGAUUUGUAAAAUUGUUCAGGUAACAGUGAGCCCACUCCCCACACCGGCUUUCCCAAUUGAUUGGCUAAAUAAUUAAUAAAUGGUCCCUCAAGACCAUCACACGUGUUGAACAUCAACGCCAUUGAUCCCUCUACUUCCUUCAUCCAGUGUGGUUGAUCACCGGCUUCUAGUGGACCUUUUUUUCUCGGAACCGGGUGCACCUCGCAGAGGUGGUGGACCACUAGGAGGGGGCCCAUGAGGCCUGUGUUUAAGAUUCGAUUCAAAUAAAGCCAUAUCCUGGGGUAACCCAGGAAGUAAACGGCCCUCUCCCGGUUUGACCCCUUGGAUGCGAGCCUGCCACAUGGCACACUCCACAGCUGCCGAGCAAGCACCAGAAGUGAAGAACCCAACAAUGGGAACUUCAAAAAAUCUUGAAAACAUCAGCCGUCCAGCCCAUCAUAACGUCGAUGACUGCACAAACGGGUCGGCUUUGGGUUCCCGGGUUGAAAGAGGUUUCGAAGGCCUUGAAGCAUUUGGCUGUGCAUGACAACAUGGGGGUGAGGAGGCGAAGGAGGGUAUUUCAGUAACUUCAAAGAGAGGAUAUUGGUGAAACGAGGAAGGGAUAAUGCUGGUCGCGGAGAUGAGGAGGAUAUUUCAAUAACUUCAAAGAGAGGGUAUUGGUGAAACGAGGAAGGGAUAAUGCUGGUGGCGGAGAUGAGGAGGAUAUUUCUGUAACUUCAAAGAGAGGGUAUUGGUGAAACGAGAAAGGGAUGGUGCUGGUGGCGGAAAUGUGAGAGGGAAUGAUGAGGGUAGAUUUGUAAUUACGAGAAGCGAUUUGGUUGCAUAACUCAAUGCAUAGAAAUAGAUGUCCCUGACCGAAGAAUGGGACAAUCCAAAUCUCGGCCUCAGCAGCAGUAGCAACAGAGCUUGACAUCUUUUUGAAUUAUUUGAUACUUAAUUGUUACUGUUUGCUUUUACCAUCUUUCAUAAAACACUCCUUUUUAUAUAUAAAGAGAUGACUUAAUGGAGAAGUAAGUGUUUUAGUUUUACAGUUUUUCUAGUAGGUAGUAGGUGAGCUCUGAGUUUGAUAAUUUGAUUGUUAGUUUUAGUUGGUUAGUUAUGAGAGAGCAUCUUUCAGAAAAUUCAUUCCAGUUUCAACUAAAAUUAAUAAUAUUAUUAAAAUUAAUUACUCGAUAAAUAAAUAAUUAGAGAUAAAUCUAUCUCUAAUCUCACAUUUAUAAAAUAAGGAUUGAAAUAAGUUCUUGUCGGUUCGAACUCAAGCCCUCAAGCCGAGUGGCUGGAUCUUGACUACUUUGACUUAAUUAUUUUAUAUAUAUAUAUAUUUUUCAUUCUUUCAUUGAACAUCUUUUGUUAUAUAAUGAAGAAGAUAAGUUGACGGAGAAGGGUUUUGCUUUUACUAGUAGAUGAGCUUUGAGUUGAGAACGUUAGUUUUAGUUAAUUAAAUAUCUACCAUCCAAAUCAACAUUCCUUAGACUAUUAUUCAAGUGAGAUGUCUGAGUAACAUACGCUUGAGUUAGUCGGUGCCUAACAAUUCGUGUGAUACAUGAAACCAACCAAUAUGAAAACCAAAUCAAGUUGGUAGGAUUACAUUAAUUUAAAUUAACUUUCAAGUUCCAACAUUAUAAGAUAAAUAAAUAGCAUAAACUAAUUUUUGUUUUCAAGUAAAUAUGUUUAUCGUUUAAAAAUUAUUUUUUCUUGCGGUAAAUGCAACACUAAAUAAGGAGUGAAGAGGGUAUUUUGUAGGGUAUACCCCCACCUUUUAUUUCAUUUCAUUAUUAAAAAAUAAAGGCUUGGUUCAACAUUCAAGUAAAAUUAACAAUUCCAUGAUAAAAUUGCUUGAGAAUAAGAAUUAAAAUAAAAAAAGAAAACAGCAACUCAAAAACAACAUACAAAUACCGUACAGAGGUUUUUCGUCACGAGAUAUUUUUGGGUUGGGACAACAAUUGUAUAACAGAGCAUACAGACUGAAUGACGGUGAGAAUAAGAAGGAAAACGGCGCCACACACCGAAAUGCCAGCCCAUGGAGUAUUGAAGUAAUUUUGUUUCAAGUUUGCCCUCCAUUUGUAGCACGUUCUUUUGCAGUGAUCAUUCAAUCCUUUGCAUAGCCCAGAAAAAUAGAAGCUAUCAGACAGCAGAGUAGUACCUCUAGAAAGGUUAUUUAGAAGCAUUGACGCAGUCUCUUUAUCCGGCAACCAGUUCUCAAUGAUUCCGUUCUGAACAAGCAACUCGACGUCCUUCGCUGUGUUCACGAGAUGAUGAAUAAGGAACACAUAAUCAUUUAUGUAAUUCUCUGAGUAAUGCCGUUGUUCAAAGGCAAUGAGAUUACGAAAUAAGGAUUCUGUUUCCAGCUGUAGCUUCAGUUUCGGAAUAUGCAAUGUCCUGUUUUUGAAUUCUAUGGCGAACAAAUCAUUGCUCUUGCUCAAACUGAAGUGGACUCCAGCUUGGUGGAGAUCAGUCACACUUGGUGCGGUUUUACCUUUGUGGUAUUGCUGACCUUCUUGUUUUUCCUGAUUCCUCGAUGAUGGUAGAUGACAAAUCCUUAGAAAAUCAAGGAAAUGCUCUACCCUAACCUCAGUGUAAGGAGGGAAUUUUUGCCGAUUACCUUGUACUGCCUCUAAACCCUUGAAAAACUCGUAUGUGACUGUGAUGAUGAUUGGAUUUUCAUGUUGGUCGGGGAUUUCAAUUGCCGCUAGAGCAAAAAGAUCCUCAAGAAUGAAGAAAGGAAGCUGAUUCUCAAGCAACCACAUAUCAUACCAUAUAUCCUCUAUUAAAUAGGGUUUAUGAAAUAUAUGAUCAUCUUUUUUUUGAAGUUGACGGAAAUGAUACCUCAAUAAGAGUUCAAUGAUGAAGGCAGCAUCCAGCAGAAUCAUUUCAACAAAUUUAUCACUACUUAGUUCGACUUUUUCUGCAUAAGAACCUCGUAAUUCUGCUUCUCUGAACUUUAUAAUUUGAACAAACUCGUCAAAGCUUAUGUUGGUCCGUUGAAGAAAGCAAUGCAGGUACCGCUGUUUAUGUUCUUCCAUGAACUGUAAGUUUGCUUUGCCAUGGUGAAGAGGGCCAAUUGAGACUACCUGAGGUGUAUAUACCUUUUCAUUUAUCUGACGUAAUCGCUCUGGAACUCUGUAGAUGCAGCAGUUUG
rnacentral:lncRNA from 1 species